rnacentral:tmRNA from 1 species
GGGGCUGAAAUAGGUUCGACGGAGAGAACCGCGGUCAACGUAAGCAGGCGGAGUUGCGAGCACUCCUAAAACGAUCGCAAGCGUUAUACACGCGAACACCCAAUACGCACUCGCUGCCUAAUUUAGGUUAGCGACGGGACGCGGAGAGUCGGCCCGAACCGCUCCGCCUUCCCGCCACGAAUUCGGGCUGGUGCGCGCAACCGAUCCGGCGCGCGCACGAGAGAAACGGAUCUGCUGCGAACGAUCAUCCCUGCUUCGAGGAGGGCGUUCGAGUAAGGCAAUAUCGAGGCUGAGCCUGGAGAACGCGUUGGUCCGGCUUUUCGGACUCGGGGGGCAGUACCCCGACAGCUCCACCA